AGCCUCAGGUCGGGCAGGGCCCUUCCCGUGGAGCCUUCGAGAGGCGCCACACUAGGUGCCACAACGGCCUGGCCCUCCUCGGUCUGCUGGGGCAAGCUAGACCCCCCAGAUCGGCACUCCCCGAAGGAGGAAUGGCCCUGAGAGCCAGGAUCGUCCCCUCCGACUCCUGGGGCCUCGGCGUCUCCGCCUCCCUCACCGGGGGGUCCGGAGUCUUCUGCCUCGUCUCCUGCCCCCUUCCUCGUGGGGGCGCUCGCCCUCUACGCGGCUCAAGGGGGCGGCGACCUAGGCCUCACUGACCCUAGGGUCGACUGCGCCACCCUCUUCACGGCCUUCAGGGGUGCGAGACCCACUGAAGCCACCUUGUGCUUCCGGCUGGUGAGGAGAUAACGCCAGUUAAAAGAAAGAGAAAAACAAAAAAUCAAAAGAAAGAUCAAAAAGCUACCACAUACCUUGCUCGAGGGGCGGCACUCUUCUACGAGCUCGGAGCUCCCUGGGCGCCUCCUGGGGCGCCAAGGGUCGUCGGGCGGAUCCCCGUCUCCCCAGCGGUUGGCACGGAGGCUUCGACAGUGGUCUCGGCCAGCGGCGCCUCAGCCAAGCCUUCCACCUCCGCCCCUGCCGAUGGGCGGGGCUCAGUUGAGCCCUCCGGCGCCACCAUGCUUGAGAUCCCUCGGGGGCCUCCGACCCCCCUCAGGCCCUUGACCCCUCUGGGAUGUCGAUCCCCCC
rnacentral:lncRNA from 1 species